ACUCCUACGGGAGGCAGCAGUGGGGAAUAUUGCACAAUGGGCGCAAGCCUGAUGCAGCCAUGCCGCGUGUGUGAAGAAGGCCUUAGGGUUGUAAAGCACUUUCAAUUGGGAAGAAAAGCUCAUGCUUAAUACGCAUGAGCCCUGACAUUACCUUUAGAAGAAGCACCGGCUAACUCCGUGCCAGCAGCCGCGGUAA
rnacentral:rRNA from 1 species